GGUAAUACCUCAUUAUCCUUUGACACUUUUAGCAUCCUCAGAGUCCAAUUCAAAUAAAUAAACUCAUUAGGGCCACUUUAAACUCUUUAACUCCGCGACUUUAUUAAUUCACGUAAUAAAUAUCUAUUCAACUAUUAUCUAUUCACCUUCAAGAAUGAACUUCUGAUUGCUGCUUUGACAAGUCUAUCGGCCUUGAAAAUAGGCUAAUGUCACUCCUGCUGUUAUAUCUAAAAAGUGGAGCCACCGGCGGAUGAAGAAAUGCGGAUGUCAAUGAGUUACUAUGGAUUAUUCGCAGCUCAUUAUAGCAACUGAAACCGAGUUUAAAUCCAAAACUUAUGCCCCGAUUAAUUAUUCAUCAAGAAUGUAGCUGGUGUUUGAAAAAUUAUGGGAGAAUAAAAUGAAAAAUUAUCCGGGCAUUAGAAAAUUAAUGCAAUGAAUGCUGAGUGAAUGACUGGUGUUUUGACGGGAGUUUUUGCCUGCUGAGAGCGCAGGCGCGUAAAUAUUUAAAAGCUGCAAUUAGAUUCAUCGAAUGACCAAAAAUUUAUCAUUUACAUUGAUCGCAACUACCAAAAUAUUUGAGAUAUUAUUUAUUAUCGGCGGCUUCAAAAAUUGCAAUUAAGUUUAUCAUUUUUAUUAUAUUUCAAGUACUUUUUCACAAAAAAUGUUUGGAUAGUGUGAAUAAAUUUAUCAAAUAAAUAUAUUAUUAGGCCUGAUUAAUGAGAGGAUGAGGUGACAGCGUUUUUGACAAAUAAUUAAAACUUUUUCAUAAAUAUAUUUUAAAAAUGAAAGAAAAUUGGAUUUUAUAAUAAAAAAUAUUUUUCGAGCUCAUUUUUAGUUGUACGUUUAGUCAUUCCGCCGAGGCUAGGCAAGUUGCCGUAUCUUGAUCCUGAAGAAAUCAAAAUACUGGUGGCCUGUCUGGUCAAGGCCGAACCAGCGGUCGCGUUUUACGUUAAAAUCAUUUUUUAUUUUGAAAAUUUAGGGUCAAAAUGAGCUCAUUUAAGAAAAUGAACAGUAAAUUUAAAAUGUUGAUUAUUAGUUCAGAGGUUAAUUAGUGGUGGGGCCUUGCAGUGCCAGGGAUCUGGCUGCCGUCGGGUCACCACUGAAUGCUCCUUCAGGACAUUUAUUAAUCCGACGAUAGACCUCACAGCGAGUUGGCCACUAUGGGCACAUCCCUUUUUAGGGUUCUGCAUUAUCACUAAAAAUAGCGAGCAGAUAGAGCCGUUCGGUUUCGUACUGUUGGGCGUGCAGAGUUUACAGUAUGGACAGCACGCGGUCAUUGA